rnacentral:lncRNA from 1 species
GGUGGCGCUCGCUCCCCAUUUCCCCCCCCCCUCCCGCGCCGACGCCCGUGACGUCAGCCGCCCGGCUCCAUUUGAGCGCCUCUCGGCAGCCGAGAACUCGGACUUCCCGUGUGGCUCACAACAUAACUACUCGGCGUUGCUUCUACAGUGGCUGUGGCUCGACCCCUGGCCUGGGAACUUCCAUAUGCCGCAGCCCCGCGGCGGCAGAUGGCACUCGUUCUGCCGCUUUUUCCUGGCUGUGUGCGAUGCCAUCGCAUAGAUGUCCCCGGGUCUGCGAAGUGCACUCACCUGUCAGUGGACCUUUAGGUGGCUUCCAGAUCUUGGCUCUGGUGAGUAGUGCGGCGACAGACAGAGGGGUGCCCGGGUCUGCUUCCGGGAAAGUUUGGUCCCGGUGAAAUGGAGCUGUUUGGAGGCCGGCUUCGGUCUUUGUGUGGGCCGGCCCGUGUAGGGCUGCUUGGCUGAGACUCUGUCGAGGAGGGAGGCCUUCAGCCACCGGGGCCUCACGGGGCCUACCCGUGCGGCACCAUCACAGAGCUCUCCGUCACUGCCCCUUGUGGGGGUGAGGGAAGGGGCGUGUUGCGGGGGG